rnacentral:siRNA from 1 species
GCCAAUAUCUCUGAUCUACUUGC